rnacentral:rRNA from 1 species
UACGUAGGGUGCGAGCGUUAAUCGGAAUUACUGGGCGUAAAGCGUGCGCAGGCGGUUCGCCAAGUCAGGUGUGAAAUCCCCGGGCUUAACCUGGGAAUUGCGCUUGAAACUAGCGGGCUUGAGUGUGGCAGAGGGGGGUGGAAUUCCACGUGUAGCAGUGAAAUGCGUAGAGAUGUGGAGGAACACCGAUGGCGAAGGCAGCCCCCUGGGUCAACACUGACGCUCAUGCGCGAAAGCGUGGGGAGCAAACAGG